rnacentral:rRNA from 1 species
AUGAACGCUAGCGACAGGCCUAACACAUGCAAGUCGAGGGGCAGCACAAGGAGCAAUCUGAGGUGGCGACCGGCGCACGGGUGAGUAACACGUAUGCAACCUGCCUGUAAGCGGGGAAUAACCCGUUGAAAGACGGACUAAUACCGCAUAAUACUAAAUUACUGCAUGGUAAUUUAUUUAAACAUUUAUGGCUUACAGAUGGGCAUGCGCAUGAUUAGCUAGUUGGAGAGGUAACGGCUCCCCAAGGCAACGAUCAUUAGGGGUUCUGAGAGGAAGGUCCCCCACACUGGUACUGAGACACGGACCAGACUCCUACGGGAGGCAGCAGUGAGGAAUAUUGGUCAAUGGACGAGAGUCUGAACCAGCCAAGUCGCGUGCAGGAAGAAUGUCCUUAAUGGAUUGUAAACUGCUUUUGCAGGGGAAUAAGGUGCAUCACGUGUGAUGUUUUGUAUGUACUCUGCGAAUAAGGAUCGGCUAACUCCGUGCCAGCCGCUGC